AGUGGGAAAAUUUCUAUCUAAAUACAUUAGGCGGGUAAUUAAUUCAAGAGGGCGCUGCAGAAUGUUUUCCAAUUGUGUUAUCCCGCUGCAAUUCAUUUCAGCAGCCCGACAUUCAAUAGGGUUUUCUCAAUAAAACCCUAAUCUGCAAUUCAUUCCAAUUUCUUCUGAAGAAUCAAAUAAUUAAACCCACAAUUAUCUUUCCCUCGAACAAAGAAAUACGAUUUCAUGAGUGUUUAAUUGAGAAGAUGAACUUGCAAUUGGGGAGCACCAAAAAUGGCGUCUUGCUGCAUAUGUCGAUCAACAGGUGUUCUUGAUUCUUCAGAGAAAAUCCAUAAGCUAAAUUUGCAGGAGCAACGAUACAUAGAAUACCAGUAUGUUGGAGUGUUCAUGGUUGCAUUUUCUGUCCUCAUUUUCCUCUUUUUAGGACCAGUGGAAGGCUUUAGAACCGAAAGCCAAGCAUGCAUGUACAACCCUUUCAAGAAGUGGAAGCCUGCAUUGGCUACCGCUCUCUUUAGCACUGUGCCUUUCGUGCUCAGUGUUGUCACUUCUGUCAUCUCUGGUUUUCUAGGAAUGAAGAUUGUUAUUGCCAAUUCAAGGACAACCUUGUAACCUUCUGUCAUCAUAGUUUGUUUGAUCACAACUCUCUUUGCUGAUUUCUUUGAAAUUGAAGCUGUCAACAAAAUUGAGCUAGCACUGAAGAAGCAGCUUAUUGUUUCAACCGUUCUGAUGCAUGUCGGUGUUGAAAUUGUCACUUGCUAUCCCAUCCACUUUAACCAUUUUCAACUUUGGCACUCAAAAGGGUGCCGGCUGAGUCCUUGCACACUUGCUGAUUCAGUUCUAUAUAUCUGUUCCUUCUGCACAAUGGUGUUGCUGAUGGGUUGUGACGUGGGUUGACUUCACAAAUACCUGCCGGCGAGGAAUAAAAGUGCUGCAGAGGAUGGUUGAAGCAUAUAUAGUAGAAGCGUGGAAUAUUCAGUUUGUAAAAACUAGUUUAGACCAAAGUUGACCAUAGUUGACUUUGCUAGUUUUUGGUUUUUUUUUGUUUUUUUAAUUUUCUUCUUUUAGCUUUGGUAGGCUAACUUUAUUUCAUUAAGACUGCAGUUUGUUGUGUGACUAGGUUUGGUUGAGCUUGUAUAAACUUUACUUUGUUUUUUGGUUAAUAACAUUGCUUAUAUACCAAAAAAGGAAAAAAAAUUCCCAAGCUAUAAAUCGCAUAUUUUAUU